rnacentral:rRNA from 1 species
ACGGCUCAGUAACACGUAGCUAAUCUGCCCUUGGGACGAGAACAACCCCGGGAAACUGGGGCUAACUCUCGAUAGGCGAAGAACUCUGGAAUGAGUCUUUACCUAAAUAGUGCAACGUUAUGCUCGUUGCAUCGCCCAAGGAUGAGGCCGCGACCGAUCAGGUUGUUGGCGAGGUAAUGGCUCACCAAGCCUUUUACCGGUGCGGGCCGUGGGAGCGGGAGCCCGGAGAUGGGCACUGAGACAAGGGCCCAGGCCCUACGGGGCGCAGCAGUCGCGAAAACUUUGCAAUAAGCGAAAGCUUGACAGGGCUAUCCCGAGUGCCAUCCGCUGAGGAAGGCUUUUACCCAGUCUAGAACGCUGGGGGAAUAAGGAGAGGGCAAGUCUGGUGUCAGCCGCCGCGGUAAUACCAGCUCUCCGAGUGGUGUGGAUGUUUAUUGGGCCUAAAGCAUCCGUAGCUGGCUAAGUUAGUCCCUUGUUAAAUCCACCGAAUUAAUCGUUGGAUUGCGGGGGAUACUGCUUGGCUAGGAGACGAGAGAGGCAGACGGUAUUUUCGGGGUAGGGGUGAAAUCCUAUAAUCCCGGGAAGACCACCAGUGGCGAAGGCUGUCUGCUAGAACGCGCCCGACGGUGAGGGAUGAAAGCUGGGGGAGCGAACCGGAUUAGAUACCCGGGUAGUCCCAGCUGUAAACGAUGCAGGCUAGGUGUUUGGACGGCCACGUGCCGUUCUAGUGCCGCAGGGAAGCUGUUAAGCCUGCCGCCUGGGGAGUACGAUCGCAAGAUUGAAACUUAAAGGAAUUGGCGGGGGAG